GCCUGGCCCCUCGGCUGCAGAGACACAAAAGAUAAUCAAUUACUGCAAUUCCUACCAUCAACCGUUAUUACUACUCAACACAUAAGUAACCAAAUGGCUCCGUCUCUCUUGUACGGUUGUUCGAGGAGGAGCGAGCUAGUGCUUGGGGGUCUGAAAGAUGUGGUUCUUUCAGAAUAAGCUUCCAUACACAAAACUGUCUUUCGCUAAUUUAUUGCAUCAAUUAGAGUGACAAAAUGAAAUUAACAAAGGGCAGAAGGAUUUAUACAAAGGAGUAACUUUCCUCUUAUAGUGAUACCUGAAGACCUGGCAAGUAUUCGCCGAUCUUCUGCGGAUCUGAAGAUGGGUCAGAGUUAUGUUCUGACUGACGUAAGGAGUUGCAUUUUGAGGGAUCGUUUCCCAGCACGAUUACAGUAAUGGUGAACAGUAUACAUUGUUCUGCACAUUUUAGUAGCAUAACUCAAAAAAGCAUUAAGUUAAGGAAACACGUAAAAGGAUCGAUAUCGAGGAAGCCUUUAAUAGUGUUUUGCCGGAACUCGUUAUGACAUCUUUAAAUAAAUAUAUCUCAAUCACCUCAUUUUCAAUCUUAUCUGUAACACUUGAUAGGCACGCAACAAGGGGGAGUCCUCUUCGAUCGGGUCGGAUCGGGUUAGUCCUGGAUAAGACUAGUUUGGAUACCAGGUCAUAGCGAAAUGGCCGGCAACGAUUAAGGUGAUCCCAAUGUCCUUUCCUGGGAUACCAUUGGAUAGACGGUUCGGUCGGGAGCUUAGUUAGCGCUGGCCAAUUAUCGGCAAUCGCAUGUCAAUCAAUGAGAAUUUCGCCUAAAUUCCCCUAAUUGUUGGGGUUGCAACUGGUCAUUGUCCUAUUUGUGUCCACGCGGUAAUCAUAUGAAUUCUUAUGAAAAUUAAAAAAAUACUAUGAACAUUUUAAGAAAUUUUAUUAUGAUCAUUCAACUGCUACUGCUACAUCGUUUUCUUCAAGGAGUAUAUACGGCAAUUUUGCUUGUUUUCCGUUUAGAUCGAAUUGGGCCUCAUCGGACACAAACAAAUUGAUUAAGUUAUUGUCCUCUUCGGCUAUUUCAAUCAUUUUUUGGCAAAAUUCCAGGCGAAUAUGCAAAUCUAGGGAGCUUAACCUUCUUGUUAUUUGAACUUUUUACGAAAACAGGCUUAAGUCAUCAUCAUUUAUCCGUUGUAAUGACCGUUGUAAUGUCUGCUAACUCCAACUUGCGCCGUUAAGUUGCUAGUCGAAAUUCUUGGCUUUGUCUGAAUUGAUGAUGCAACGCCCGCGAGUGUUUCUUGAACACGAUUAUACGGAUCUCUAUGGUACGAUAUUCUUGAGAUACUUUACAAUUCGGCAACACGUUUACUAACUGCAUAAUGAUCCAUCUACUCGGGGGAGUGCCGCCCCGUCUGUAUUCCCUUUGGACGGAAAUUGCGGACCGCAAAGCAAAAAAAAACAUAAAUAAUAACCAAAUUAAAUAAAGGAAGUCGAUUAGUUAUUUGACUGAGGUGCAGAGUGCGCCAUCCAUAUGUAUGUAUGUACAUAUAUCGAAAGUGUUUGCUGUGUUGGUGCACUCUGCACCUCAGUCAAAUAAUUAUAGGGGUAAUCAUAAUCUGGUGCAAAUGGUCUUGCAAAUUCAAAUUUCGGUGCAAGUGCAAAAUAUUUUUGCACCAUGUUCUUGAACAAAAACAAAUUACAUGUGUUUUGCAAAUGCAACACUGCUAUGCAAAUGCUACACUCAACCCCUAUUGUAUAUGUGCAAAUUAGUAUUGCAUUUCAAACAGCUGAUUUCUUUUGCAUACAUAUUUGUUUCGAUUUUUGGCGCGUCAGGUAAAAUUUUUGCAAUAUGAGCGAUAAAAACGUGAAAAGGGAGCGACCGAACAAAAAAUGGACAAAGGAAGAAAUCAACAAGCUUCUGGAUUUUUUGGAGGAAGCAGAUGAAAUUGAGGCUCAAGCACAGCACAAUUUUUUUACAAAAAAUGCAUUGUGGUUAAGGGAAUCGAUGCUGCGGUGGAAGGUACGCCACCUAAAAAGUAUAUUUAAAAAAGCGAAUGAUUAUCGCACCUCAACUGGCGCUGGAAUUGAUGAAAUUGAUGUGGGCGUUGGCAGUUUUGAAGGUAAAUAA